GAUGGUUCAGUGAUAGUACAAAAAAGAUAGGGAUAAUGCAUUUUUUGUAGUGCAAUGACUGUGCAUACUCAAAAAAAUGCGGACCUUUCUAUAUGUGAGUAUGCACAGUUCAUGUGCUGCAUAAAAUGCACUGUCCCUAGCAAAACUUGUGAAGUUGUGAUAGUAUUUGGCAUUCUCAAGGGCAUGGUUUCAGAGUUGGAAAUUUUUUAUUUGAAAAUUAGGUUUGCACCCAGGCUAGGUGCUUAUCCGAAAAUUGCUGGUUUGCCCUCAACUUGGGAAGUGAGGGUUUUUACAUUUAUUGGACCUCUAGUAUCUGCUAUCAGGGGGCCUGGGUGAUUAGUUUAGACUCGUAGUUUUUUUUUGUCUCAUUUAAUAUCAAUUCUGGUUUGUUCUUAACUUGCGUAAAUCUGGAAUCCAUGGCCCUCUCUGCUCAAUUGUGAUUGGUGUAUAGGAGGGGAAACGAAAACAACAUUUGUGUCACUUCGCCUAUGAGAUUGUUAUCUGGCUGUUUUAGUCUUGCUUACACUUUGGCAUGAUUCCAUAUAUUAUUGUCACUUGUUCAUGUUUUGGUUUUCAAUACAAAUACAUUACUUUAUUCUCCAAAGAACGUCGUGGUUUGGUUGUCAAUAUUUUGACAAGUAUUAUUUUAUACGUUUAAAGCUUAGUUUUUCAAUUGGUACAUGUAGUUUUCUAGACAUGCUAACGGCUUAAUGGUGGUGCACAUAUGAAGCUGCGGUCGAUACCUCUCUGCAUGUUUUCAUGCACGCCUCUUUAUUUCCAUGUCAUCUCUCCUUCCUUCUUCUUUGUACUUGCUACAACUCUGUAAAACUUUUUUUAGAUUUUUGGUGGAUUGGUUAUGUUGAUAUGUUCUCAAUGUGUCCAUCAGUGGCAUCAAAGAGGAUAAUAGGUGUAGCAGGGUGCUGCUUGUGCGUGGAUAUCAUGGUGAGGACAAAAUGUUGACCUUAUAAGUCGGACGUAGAGAAGAUUGGAUAUCCUAUUUGAUAAGCCAAUUCAUGAACGUGGAGGGAAGGUGUGUCAUUGUUGAAUUCCCUUUAACAUUAAUUUUGAUACUACCAUGAUUAUUGCAGUAAUUGAUGGUGAUCUAUUUGUUUAUGAUUGGUUUUAGUGUUUUUUUAUGCUUCUUUAUUUGUACAGUUGUUGCAGUACUUACUAGAUUAUGACUUUUUGGCCUUCAUUUUUUUUUCAUUAGUUUUCUUUUCAUCAUUGUUUGUUUCUCUACGCCAUUUGGUUGAUCAUUUCCUUUCUUGAAAUUUUAUAGAUGAUUAGUUAUAAGUCCUGGGACAUCUUGACAAUAGGAGUAGCGCAGCCCAGGUAUGACAAAGCAGGAGUGGACCAUAAACUCUGGGAAAAUGGAACAAAAUCGCAGUAGGUUUGGAAUGUAGAAGAGUAAUUCUCUUUGCCUUUUUUAUAUUCAGCUGGUCUUUGAUGUUGUGUUUCUAGCCUCGGUAAGUUUACACUUAUCCCAUUAGAGUAGAUGGUCAUGGAAUAUUUUAUACUUAAUGCAAUUGAGUGUUAACCUCUAACAUCCAGUGCCCAUGUUUAGCUAGCGGUUAUGAUAGGAUUUCUUUUUUUAUUUGAAUAUCUAUUAUGUAUCCAAGUAAAUCAGCAGGGUAUAGGAUUGUGCAAAGUGCAAAUGAAUUGUUGACUCUUGUUGGGAAAACGGAGGCUUCUUCUUCUUUUGGGCAUAGAAUACAAUCUACUAAGAGAUAAAUCCACACGACCAUGGCAUAUAGAAGUCCAUUUACUUUUGUAACUCGGGCCUCUCUGUGAUUUUCAUCCAUGUGAACGCAAUGAUAUCUGAAUAUUCAUCCUAUUCCAGCAUACUCUGUUUCUUAUUUUUUACUUUACUUUAGAUAAUGCUACGUAACAUUAUUUAUCAGAAGGACAUAAUAAGAAGCACAAACUUGCAUUAAGCGCUUACGUCCUGAUUUCCUCAGUGUUCCUGAGUUUGUCUUAUUAUUGCUUAAUCUGAUAGGUAUUUGGGGACAAACAUGGGGCACAUCUCAUACUUUAUAUGAGCGAGACGGGCAGCAUGCAGGAUAAGACACCAGAACAUAAUUGAAAGCUCCGGAUGUAUGCAUUCUCUCUGUUUUCCACUUUAGUUCCCCGUGUUAUAGAUGCCUUAAACAUUUGAAAAACUCUGUUGAAUUCAUCCAAAAACGACUUCCCGCUCUCAUGUGGGUCAAGCUGCUGUAUCUGCAAGCCAAGGUCUAAAAUUACACUCUUGUCAAGACAAAUCAAUUUUUUGUUACGUGUUUGGUUCAUCCUCUCUGAUCUAUGAACUUGUUUAUCUCUUAAUUAUAUGAACAUGCAACCAUUGUCCAGAUUUUUUGACAGUUUCUUCAUCCUGUUGAAACUUUCUCAUCCCUUUUCCUUUCUCAUGAUUAAUGCAUUCUUCUAGUGCCAUUAAUGUUAAUUCACAUGGAACCCUUAACUGCUUGGCCAAUCACUCUUAUUUUCUUCGUUUGUUCCUCCUUUCCUGUGUUUUGUGUUGAAGAAUGAGAGGCAUUAAAAUCUCUCAUUUACAUAUGUUUCUCAUGGUGAAGCCCAAUCAAUGUUGUUGGACAAACUCUAGAUAUUGCCUGCUGAAUCAGUAUUCACUUAAAUCUUAAUUUGUGGAUUUGAGGUUUUCCAGCAACUAUAAGAAUUUUAUGAGCUGAGUGGGUUAUUUGGUGGAACUAUACCCCUAAGUAUUGGUUAUUAAAUGUCCCACCCCGCCCGAGUGAAGCUAUGUAAAUUGAUCAUAAGCUUUUCUCUUUCUGCUUGGGUUAAUCCGUGAUCAAUUGAUUAACUUUUUAAUGUUUUUGAUUUAGUAGUAAUUAUGGGACUCAAUUUUACUAGGACACAUUUUCGUGAGAACAUGUUACGAUACGGGUACAAUACUCUUCCAAUUUUUUCAUUAGUAAAAUAUUUGGGAUGCUUAUGGCAAAUGUUUUGGAUACUUUGGACACAUUAAAGGGAUCCACAUAAAUAAAGGGGAAAAUUGACAAAAACUACUUGGGAAAGUUGAUCGUUUUUCACGAUUGAGUCCAUUCCUUGAUUAUAUUGGUUUUGAGGGAUUUCUUGAAAAUAUAUAAUUCCUCUAAAAUCUUUUAAACAUGGCCUAGAAAAUGAUUCGAGGAAUUUCAAUAUUCAGAUCGAAAGUUCUAACAUUGUUUGGAAACAUAUCAUUAUAAAUAGACAUUAGAAAAUUAAUAAAUUAUAUCCUUAUAAUUUUCAGAUAAAAAAAAAGUUUACACUCAUCAGUUGUAUUAGUAAUAAGGUUAACAAUUGAAGACUCAUUACCGUUUUUUAAACUAUCUCAUAUGUUCGAUUAUUAAACAAAUACCUUAAGCACUUAAUUUGAAGCAGUAGCUGCAGCUUCCUAUUAUUCAAUUCUUUGAUUGCAAGAGGAGCGGCCAAGUAAUUGAUUACUAUAUGUAGUACAUAUGUGUGUAUGUACCAUCAAUUUUUGGUAUCUUCAUGGUUUACAAACUAAGCAAUGUUGAGAAUUAUCUAAAUCACAUUUUGCCUUAUAAAACUGAGAGUUUUUAUUUUGCUUCCUAUGUGUACCUAUAUCCACCAGAUUCCGAUUAAUUUUGGCAUCUUAAUAUGUUUAUCUCUGGGAAACUAAAAUAAUAUGUCCAUUUACUAAUGUGCUAUCAAUGUGUUGUUUCUACUCUACCUGCUAAUUUGGGCCACCGCUAAUGAUUUUCGAUAGAUCUAAGGGGUCAUUUUGUUGGAUUUCAUGAAUUCUUUUCUCGUUGUUGUUUGAUUUUAUUUCAAGGCUUUUCUGUUUGUUUUUCUGCUAAUAAAUAAACGUUUUGUCUUUUCUGUCCAAGAGAAGUUUCUAAGUGGAACUAGACUUUUUUUAUGUUUUACCAAGUUGGCCUUUUACAUGUUUUGGACCUUUUGUAACAAGUUGAAGACCCCCUUUUGUUUCAAGAAUCUCUCUCAGGUUUCAACAAAUUGGAAGAAUCUCAUGACCAAACAUAAUUCUAUUUUGCGUUCUCAAAAUUGUUGAAGACAAAAAACAAAAGACAUGAAACAAAAUGCUAACCAAUAACUGGAGUGUGUGUGUGUGUGUGUGUGUAUAUAUAUUUACAUUUAUGUUUAUUCCCUCUCCUUUUUCUGAUGGUUUGUUUUGUAGGUUAUCUAUUGGCCACAACUUGUUAUUGAAUUUUAAAAUAGUUGUCCUUCGCAUUUUCAACAUUUGUUUUGAGAUUGAUUCAUGUGGCAGUUCAUUUCUGAUUUUCUAAAGGCAGUUUGUUAUCACAAUGCUGGCACUGUAGAAUUUAUGUUGAUACUUCAUCUUGAAAAAUGUUUAUUCCAUGGAGAUUAAUUCCCUCUUCAGGUGCUUUGGUCCCUCUGCUUUCCUCUUUGCUUUCUAUGAGUUCAACAUAUCAAGAACAGUGCCUUUAUUGCAUUGUUGGGGCAGGUUUGCAUUCUGUGACUGAGAUGAUUAUUGGCGAAGACCUUGUAAGUGGCAAAUCGUGUUGCGAAUGAGAGCCCUCUUCCCAUGAACCAAUCCAAGUGCCCUUUUAGGUUAACUUUUCUCCUUUUUUUUUCCAUUUGUUUCCACAUUUAAUUUAUGCUCUUAUUUUCUAUAGCAUGAUGCAUAUCUAGUCUAAUUUGUAUCUUGGUGAAAACUGUAUUCAAAUAGAUCUCUCUCUUUGCUGGUCACUGAAUAGACAAAAAAGAGGAAAUAAAUGUUUUUUAAGUGUUCAAAUUUCCGUUUCCUUUCUCUUCUUCUAUCCGCAAAACCAUCCUAGUAACCAUUUUUGAGGUAUGUCAUAGGCCAAAUAACAUCACAUGAUUCACAUCCAAGCUACCUCUCUAAAAGUUCAAAAAACAAUGGGUUGGCUCAAUCUAGUUGCUUAAAUGUCUAGGAACUAUUGUUGUUUCUCGUGUUCAAACUUCCUGAGUAUCUUUGGUUGAUUGGAUAAAAAUUUUUCAUAUACUAAAGGAAAUAAAAAACUGCAUUGUACAAGUUAAUGGGA
rnacentral:lncRNA from 1 species